GUGGAUGUAGCUCAGUGGUAGAGCCCCGGGUUGUGAUCCCGGUGGUCGUGGGUUCAAGCCCCAUCAUCCACCCCA
rnacentral:tRNA from 1 species